GAUGAACGCUAGCGACAGGCCUAACACAUGCAAGUCGAGGGGCAGCGGAGAGGUAGCAAUACCUCUGUCGGCGACCGGCGCACGGGUGAGUAACACGUAUGCAAUCCACCUGUAACAGGGGGAUAACCCGGAGAAAUCCGGACUAAUACCCCAUAAUAUGGGCUCUCCGCAUGGAGGGCUCAUUAAAGAAAGCAAUUUUGGUUACAGACGAGCAUGCGCUCCAUUAGCCAGUUGGCGGGGUAACGGCCCACCAAAGCGACGAUGGAUAGGGGUUCUGAGAGGAAGGUCCCCCACAUUGGAACUGAGACACGGUCCAAACUCCUACGGGAGGCAGCAGUGAGGAAUAUUGGUCAAUGGUCGGCAGACUGAACCAGCCAAGUCGCGUGAGGGAAGACGGCCCUACGGGUUGUAAACCUCUUUUGUCGGAGAGUAAAGUACGCUACGUGUAGCGUAUUGCAAGUAUCCGAAGAAAAAGCAUCGGCUAACUCCGUGC
rnacentral:rRNA from 1 species